rnacentral:rRNA from 1 species
GAUGAACGCUGGCGGCGUGCCUAAUACAUGCAAGUCGAGCGAACAGAUGAGGAGCUUGCUCCUCUGACGUUAGCGGCGGACGGGUGAGUAACACGUGGAUAACCUACCUAUAAGACUGGGAUAACUUCGGGAAACCGGAGCUAAUACCGGAUAAUAUAUUGAACCGCAUGGUUCAAUAGUGAAAGACGGUUUUGCUGUCACUUAUAGAUGUAUCCGCGCCGCAUUAGCUAGUUGGUAAGGUAACGGCUUACCAAGGCAACGAUGCGUAGCCGACCUGAGAGGGUGAUCGGCCACACUGGAACUGAGACACGGGCCAGACUCCUAAGGGAGGCAGCAGUAGGGAAUAUUCCGCAAUGGGCGAAAGCCUGACGGAGCAACGCCGCGUGAGUGAUGAAGGUCUUCGGAUCGUAAAACUCUGUUAUUAGGGAAGAACAAAUGUGUAAGUAACUAUGCACGUCUUGACGGUACCUAAUCAGAAAGCCACGGCUAACUACGUG